UUUAACCACAAACAUUGAGGGUCUUUUGCUGAUUUCUGACAUUAUUCGACUGGUUUAAAAGUUGUCGCAUUGGUGAACCAAAUCCAGAGAGAUCUUUCAGCUUCUUCCAUCAUCAAUUUUGAUAUCAACUGCAAAUUUUCAUCUUGGACCUAGGACAUGACUUAUAAGAAUAAGCUCGUGCUUCUGUUUGUCGCGGUGGUGCUGCUCGCGUUGGUGGCUGCCCAGGACAAUCAUGAUGACGAUGACCUACCGGACUAUGAACGGGCAGAGCAGGUGAAAUUGGAGGCUGCGGAGGCGCCAGGGCUAUCGCGGGUGCGCCGUGUACCACCACCGACGAUUUCCCUGAAUCGCUAUCGGCGUCAACCUCAUCGUUGGACAAUUUGGGUGUAAUUUAAAGUUUCAUUUUUUGAUUGGAACAUAAUUCAUUUUCUUAAUAAACAUUGAUUAAUUUGAAACAAAACCCGAACUAAAAAUAAAUGAAAAGAGAAAGAAAAAUAAUGUUAAUCAUGAUAAAAGUUACAAUAAAAAAAAAAAAAAUUCC